GUGCCAGCCGCCGCGGUAAUACCGGCAGCACGAGUGAUGGCCGAUAUUAUUGGGCCUAAAGCGUUCGUAGCCGGCCGGACAAGUUCGUUGGGAAAUCCACGCGCUCAACGCGUGGGCGUCCAGCGAAUACUGUUCGGCUUGGGGCCAGAAGACUCAAGGGGUACGUCCGGGGUAGGAGUGAAAUCCCGUAAUCCUGGACGGACCGCCGAUGGCGAAAGCACCUUGAGAGGAUGGACCCGACGGUGAGGGACGAAAGCCAGGGUCUCGAACCGGAUUAGAUACCCGGGUAGUCC
rnacentral:rRNA from 1 species